UUCCUGGAAAAACUGCAAGGCCACAGUUGAGACAGAUAUCCUGGAAAAACUGUAAGAUGCUCUACCCAAGGCCACAGCUGUUGAGACAGAUAUCCUGCUUAUCCUCCUUUUAAGCUGCUCUCUCUAUAUAUGCACUCCCAGUCUUUCCCUGGUGUGGUUUCCCUUGGGUGGCCACCCUAGCUUGCUAGGAAUAAACCUCUCCCUUUUGUCUUUACAUUGUGUCUGCAUGUUCCUUUGCAGGGUUCUUCCACUCAGACCCUAACAUAUGGAGGCUCGCCCGGGAUGGUAAGACACCUCCCCUCCCCCAGGAAACACCAGGACAAAGGGAAGACUCUCCCAAAUCUUGUGCUGAAACCCUGAAGGACCCUGAGCUUUGUAUCCUAGUCACCAUUCUGCCACAAGUACUAUACCAUCCAGGGACGGAGCUGCUGGACUAUUGGGAACAUCAAAGAAUCAGCCACCAGAAAUGGGAACCUGUCCUCGCACUGACCCUAACCAUGCUCUUUGGCUUGGUAGGGAUUGGCACAGGUAUAACCUCCCUUUUUCAAACAGAAGACCUAAGGCACCUACACACACAUGUGGACCUCAGGCGUAUAGAAAAAUCACUAGAGGCCCUUAAGAAAUCGCUAAACUCCCUUUCAGAAGUCGUACUCCAGGACCAAGGGGCCUUGAUCUUUUGUUCCUAUAGGAGGGAGGCCUCUGUGUCACCCUCAAGGAAGAGUGCUGCAGACCACACAGGGAUUGUCAUAGUCUAGAUGCCCGAGAAUGCGAAUGCACUCACACCCAACCUUGGUACCAGCAAGCAUUUGCAAAAUCCCCACUACAGCUGGACCAAUGUUAAUUCUCUUCUUCCUUAUCAUUUUCAAGCCUUGUAUAGUCCACCGACUGAUACACUUUGUGAAUGACCAGGUCCACACAAUCCAGCUUAUGGUCCUCAGGCAGCAGUAUCAGGCCCUGACAGCCCCCUCUGAUGGCUACGCUAAUGCCCUGCCCCUGGAGGUUUUGGCUCGCCCCUGAACAAGCAUCAUAAAAUAAAAAGAACUGGGGAAUGAAGGGAAGUGAAGGUUGCACUGUGUCCAAAUAAACAGUUCCUGGAAAAACUGCAAGGCCACAGUUGAGACAUAUCCUGGAAAAACUGCAAGGCCACAGUUGAGACAGAUAUCCUGGAAAAACUGUAAGAUGCUCUACCCAAGGCCACAGCUGUUGAGACAGAUAUCCUGCUUAUCCUCCUUUUAAGCUGCUCUCUCUAUAUAUGCACUCCCAGUCUUUUCCCUGGUGUGGUUUCCCUUGGGUGGCCACCCUAGCUUGCUAGGAAUAAACCUCUCCCUUUUGUCUU